GGGGAUGUAUUUCAGUGGUAGAAUGCAUGCUUUGCAUCAAGCAAUCUUCAAGAUUCUAGAUCUGCAUGAGGUCCGGGGUAAGUCAAAACUAGUCUAAAUAUCGAGUAUAUCUUCUAACAAGCCCAGGUUCAAUCCCCCGCGUCUCCA